CUGGGUAGCAUGGGUCCAGCCAGACCCGCCAAAAUGCUGUUUUCAGUCCUCCCUGCCAACUGGUAUCUUGUUUUGCUCUUCCUUGCCUCUCUUUAAUGCUAAUCUUUGUGUUUAUUUAUUGGAGAAACUACUUUCAGUGGCAGACUGUAGCUCCAUUUUGCAUGGAUUUUUUUUUGUCUGUAUUAUUUUAUUUUUUUUUAAGUGCCAGUUUCAGCAGGGGCAAGGAUAAAAGAGUCAAUCUGCUGAACAGAGCAUUUGAAGGAUCCUUGCUGCCAAGAAUGCUGAAAUAGGUUGGCCAGGCUACCAACGCACAUGGGGUGGGGAGAGGGGAGAUGCCAGGAGGGACAGCAGGGUGGGGAGAAACCAGUCAAGAUCUGGAAAUUCACAUCGAUGCUAUCUCUCUUGGGGGUUUGCUGGGAUUUUUUUGGUAUCCAUUUAACAAAAAAUAACCAGAUUCUCCUUCCCACUCUUGUCCCCAGACCCCGAACACCCACACACGCACACACAUACACACACACACACACACACACAAAGAGAGUUAAUCAACUGAAAGUGUUUCCUUAAUUUCUGAUCUAGAAUUUCAACUUGUUAACAAGCAAUAAAGGAGCAAGUUUUUAGAGACUUAUCUUACAAGAUGUAUUUUAUAAAAAUUAAAGAAAAUAAAUUAAAAUUAAGAACAUUCUGAACAAGA